ACGUUACGGGUCCCGUAAUUUGAGCACAAGGAUACAGGUGAACAUUUACGGGUGAAGACCCAGUGAUUACGGGUGGAUUUUACGCGGUGCUGGAGGUUAAUUACGGGCGCAUGUAACCAAUUACACGCAAAAUUACGGGUGAAGACCCAGUGAUUACAGGUGGAUUUUACGUGGUGCUGGAGGUUAAUUACGGGCGCAUGUAACCAAUUACACGCAAAAUUACGGGUGAAGACCCAGUGAUUACGGGUGGAUUUUACGCGGUGCUGGAGGUGAAUUACGGGCGCAUGUAACCAAUUACACGCGAAAUUACGGGUGAAGACCCAGUGAUUACGGGUGGAUUUUACGCGGUGCUGGAGGUGAAUUACGGGCGCAUGUAACCAAUUACACGCAAAAUUACGGGUGAAGACCCAGUGAUUACGGGUGGAUUUUACGCGGUGCUGGAG
rnacentral:lncRNA from 1 species